GACGAACGCUGGCGGCGUGCUUAACACAUGCAAGUCGAACGGAAAGGCCCUGCUUUUGUGGGGUGCUCGAGUGGCGAACGGGUGAGUAACACGUGAGUAACCUGCCCUUGACUUUGGGAUAACUUCAGGAAACUGGGGCUAAUACCGGAUAGGAGCUCCUGCUGCAUGGUGGGGGUUGGAAAGUUUCGGCGGUUGGGGAUGGACUCGCGGCUUAUCAGCUUGUUGGUGGGGUAGUGGCUUACCAAGGCUUUGACGGGUAGCCGGCCUGAGAGGGUGACCGGCCACAUUGGGACUGAGAUACGGCCCAGACGCCUACGGGAGGCAGCAGUGGGGAAUAUUGCACAAUGGGCGGAAGCCUGACGUAGCAACGCCGCGUGCGGGAUGACGGCCUUCGGGUUGUAAACCGCUUUCGCCUGUGACGAAGCGUGAGUGACGGUAAUGGGUAAAGAAGCACCGGCUAACUACGUG
rnacentral:rRNA from 1 species